UAGGGAAUCUUCCGCAAUGGACGCAAGUCUGACGGAGCAACGCCGCGUGAGUGAAGAAGGAUUUCGGUUCGUAAAACUCUGUUGUUAGAGAAGAACAGCGCAUAGAGUAACUGUUAUGCGUGUGACGGUAUCUAACCAGAAAGCCACGGCUAACUACGUGCCAGCAGCCGCGGUAAUACGUAGGUGGCAAGCGUUGUCCGGAUUUAUUGGGCGUAAAGCGAGCGCAGGCGGUCAAUUAAGUCUGAUGUGCAAGCCCCCGGCUCAACCGGGGAGGGUCAUUGGAAACUGGUUGACUUGAGUGCAGAAGAGGAGAGUGGAAUUCCAUGUGUAGCGGUGAAAUGCGUAGAUAUAUGGAGGAACACCAGUGGCGAAGGCGACUCUCUGGUCUGUAACUGACGCUGAGGCUCGAAAGCGUGGGUAGCAAACAGG
rnacentral:rRNA from 1 species